UACGGAGGGGGCUAGCGUUGUUCGGAAUUACUGGGCGUAAAGCGCACGUAGGCGGUUUUGUAAGUUAGAGGUGAAAGCCUGGAGCUCAACUCCAGAACUGCCUUUAAGACUGCAUCGCUUGAAUCCAGGAGAGGUGAGUGGAAUUCCGAGUGUAGAGGUGAAAUUCGUAGAUAUUCGGAAGAACACCAGUGGCGAAGGCGGCUCACUGGACUGGUAUUGACGCUGAGGUGCGAAAGCGUGGGGAGCAAACAGG
rnacentral:rRNA from 1 species